GACGAACGCUGGCGGCGUGCCUAAUACAUGCAAGUCGAGCGGACUGAUGGGGAGCUUGCUCCCCUGAYGUCAGCGGCGGACGGGUGAGUAACACGUGGGCAACCUGCCUCACAGACUGGGAUAACUCCGGGAAACCGGGGCUAAUACCGGAUAAUCAAAGGAACCGCAUGGUUCCCUUGUAAAAGUUGGGUUUUACCUAACACUGUGAGAUGGGCCCGCGGCGCAUUAGCUUGUUGGUGAGGUAGUGGCUCACCAAGGCGACGAUGCGUAGCCGACCUGAGAGGGUGAUCGGCCACACUGGGACUGAGACACGGCCCAGACUCCUACGGGAGGCAGCAGUAGGGAAUCAUCCGCAAUGGGCGAAAGCCUGACGGUGCAACGCCGCGUGAGUGAUGACGGUCUUCGGAUUGUAAAGCUCUGUUGUCAGGGAAGAACAAGUGCCGUGCGAAUAGAGCGGCACCUUGACGGUACCUGACCAGAAAGCCCCGGCUAACUACGUGCCAGCAGCCGCGGUAAUACGUAGGGGGCAAGCGUUGUCCGGAAUUAUUGGGCGUAAAGCGCGCGCAGGCGGUUCUUUAAGUCUGAUGUGAAAGCCCACGGCUCAACCGUGGAGGGUCAUUGGAAACUGGGGAACUUGAGUGUAGGAGAGGAAAGUGGAAUACCAAGUGUAGCGGUGAAAUGCGUAGAUAUUUGGUGGAACACCAGUGGCGAAGGCGACUUUCUGGCCUACAAC
rnacentral:rRNA from 1 species